rnacentral:lncRNA from 1 species
CCGUAAUAGGCAUCCCAAGUUCGACCAGGAUCGGAUACCACCCUUAUUACCCAACCCAACCUCCAACCACCUUCCCUGAGUUGGCUGACUUUUGAGUGUAUAAUAAGAUAGUGUAAUAGAUCACAUAAAAACUCUGGGAUUUGAUCGUAAUCGUGACCAACCAAACUAGGUCCAACCAUCCAACCAUACCAAACCAUACCAAAGACCAUAAACCA